GACGAACGCUGGCGGCGUGCUUAACACAUGCAAGUCGAACGGACAGGCCCUGCUCUUGUGGGGUGCUCGAGUGGCGAACGCGUGAGUAUAACGUGAGUAACCUGUACUUGUCUUUGGGAUAACUUCUGGAAACUCGGGCGAAUAUCGCAUAGGAGCUCCUGCAGCAUGGUGGGGGUUGGUAAGUUUCGGCGGUUGGGGAUGGACUAGCUGCUUACCCGCUUGAUGGUGGGGUAGUGGCUGACCAAGGUUUUGACGGCUAGGCGGCCUGAGAGGGUGACCGGCCACAUUGGGACUGAGGGACGGCCCAGACUCCUACGGGAGGCAGCAGUGGGGAAUAUUGCGCAGUGGGCGGAAGCCUGAUGCAGCAACGCCGCGAGCGUGAUGACGGCCUACGGGUUGUAAACCGCUUUCGCCGGUGACGAAGCGUGAGUGACGGUAAUGGGUAAGGAAGCACCGGCUAACUACGUG
rnacentral:rRNA from 1 species